AAUUAAUCUCAAUUUACUGUGAUUAGAUAGAACCAUUCUGUAUGAAUUUUAUUAUAAUUCCUUUCGUAAUACAUUUUUUAUGCUUUUGUACUCCAGAGCGAAGCUCGGUCCCCGACAUUUGUCAUAAAUCUUCGUGACUGAACUGCUUUAUAAAGAUUCUUCUACAGGAAAAAUAAUUUCGACUGAAUGUCCAUGCCUCACAAAUCAAGUUGAUCUUUAUAGUUUUCUAAGUUCUUUUAUAAAUUAUGAAUUGACACAACUGUCUCAUUUUGUUUAAAGGUUUCCUAUGCAGCAUCAUCUGAUGAUAAAACCACCGAGAGCAGGACCGUAACUAGCAUCAUUGUGAAGCUUGUCAACAUUGAAGUGGCAGUGAAUUUCUCGUGGAAGGGGGUCCAAAGGAAGGACCAGAAACUAGAAAAAAGACCCUUCAAGGACCUCAAUAUUUCUAAAUUGAUGAUUGCUGCCGUAAAAAGAUGUUGGGUUGAUGCAGACAUCAAAUGAAUCAACCUCACGGCUGCAUCGUGGUUGGUGCAAUCGCAAACAAAACUGGACAAAAUGAAAGCUAAGGCAGUGACAGACGGGGCCGGUGAACUACAGCAGGAUGAAAUAGUUGAUCCCGCCGCCGAGUAGCCUCUCUAAUAGCAAUGUUAUACCAUAGAGAAACAAUAGCGUAAGUAGAUAUCCCAUGGUAUAGGGCGUUUAUGUCGCAACUUUUACUGUUAUCUCAAGCCGAUAGUCCACGUAGUUCUUUCCCAUGAAGCUUUAUGAUGCUGGUAGUCUCUCAUAUUGUGCCGUUCAUACACUCUUACCCGGUCAAAACAGUAAAAAUCGACAGUAAUCGGCUUGAGAUAACAGUAAAAGUUGCGACAUAAACGCCAUAUACCAUGGGAUAUCUACUUACGCUAUUGUUUCUCUAUGGUUAUACUCGUUUCUACAUUUGAUAUAAGCUGGUCUACUAUCUAUAGUUUGAUAUUUGUCAUGUAUAGUUAACAGCAACAAUAAGUGUUCCUUAAGAGCCGACAGAUACUGGGUGUACCAGUUAUCAUUUCUAUCGUGCUUGAGUCUUAUGCGACCAUUAUUUGAAACCUUACAUUCACGUUGUGGAAUACACUCAUUAAAUGCUUUAGUGAACUGAUGAAAAAAUCUCUGAAAUGCAUCAUUAGCAGACAGCUCAUUUCCAUAUAAUAAAUUAGACCAGUCACAAUUAUACAGUCGAUUCCUCAAU